CAGAGGGGGGCAAGCGUUGUUCGGAAUUACUGGGCGUAAAGGGCGCGUAGGCGGCCUGUUAAGUCAGACGUGAAAUCCCUCGGCUCAACCGGGGAACUGCGUCUGAUACUGGCGGGCUUGAAUUCGGGAGAGGGAUGUGGAAUUCCAGGUGUAGCGGUGAAAUGCGUAGAUAUCUGGAGGAACACCGGUGGCGAAGGCGGCAUCCUGGACCGACAUUGACGCUGAGGCGCGAAAGCCAGGGGAGCAAACGGGAUUAGAUACCCCGGUAGUCCUGGCCCUAAACGAUGAGUGCUUGGUGUGGCGGGUAUCGAUCCCUGCCGUGCCGAAGCUAACGCAUUAAGCACUCCGCCUGGGGAGUACGGUCGCAAGGCUG
rnacentral:rRNA from 1 species